rnacentral:rRNA from 1 species
GUCGAACGGUCUCUUCGGAGAUAGUGGCGGACGGGUGAGUAACGCGUGAGAAUCUAGCUUCAGGUCGGGGAUAACUACUGGAAACGGUGGCUAAUACCGGAUGUGCCGAAAGGUGAAAGGCUUGCUGCCUGAAGAUGAGCUCGCGUCUGAUUAGCUAGUUGGUGUGGUAAGAGCGCACCAAGGCGUCGAUCAGUAGCUGGUCUGAGAGGAUGAUCAGCCACACUGGGACUGAGACACGGCCCAGACUCCUACGGGAGGCAGCAGUGGGGAAUUUUCCGCAAUGGGCGAAAGCCUGACGGAGCAAUACCGCGUGAGGGAGGAAGGCUCUUGGGUUGUAAACCUCUUUUCUCAGGGAAUAAGAAAGUGAAGGUACCUGAGGAAUAAGCAUCGGCUAACUCCGUGCCAGCAGCCGCGGUAAUACGGAGGAUGCAAGCGUUAU